rnacentral:rRNA from 1 species
AGAGUUUGAUCAUGGCUCAGGAAUGAACGCUAGCUACAGGCUUAACACAUGCAAGUCGAGGGGCAGACAUGAACUUAGCUUGCUAAGUUUUGAUGGUCGACCGGCGCACGGGUGAGUAACACGUAUCCAACCUGCCGAUGACUCGGGGAUAGCCUUUCGAAAGGAAAGAUUAAUACCCGAUGGCAUAGUUCUUCCGCAUGGUAGAACUAUUAAAGAAUUUCGGUCAUCGAUGGGGAUGACGUUCC